CCGGAACUAGAUCCAACAGAAAACAUAAUAAAUCGAUUUGGUUCUCUCAACAUGGAGACAGGAAUAAGACAGACACAGGGACAAAGAUACCAACAAUGUUUUAAACUUGAACACUGCAAUCAACUGAUUUACAACCCUCUGUAUUCAAGUGGCUAGAGUACUACCAUGUGUUUUGUGCUUAUGGGUUUAUGAUUACAGUAAAAAAUAAAACCAAGUGCUGUGAUGGGUUGAAACAAACCAGGUACAUGGGACAGAUGGAGAGAUCAUGAGUUUCUCUGACCUUAGCAUAGGAAGGGAUAGUGUAGUCAAGUUCAAUACAAUGCUCAGCCACCUUUAUUUUCCCAACCAUUAUUAGAACUUGAGACUA